rnacentral:rRNA from 1 species
GACGAACGCUGGCGGCGUGCUUAACACAUGCAAGUCGAACGGAAAGGCCCUGCUUUUGUGGGGUGCUCGAGUGGCGAACGGGUGAGUAACACGUGAGUAACCUGCCCUUGACUUUGGGAUAACUUCAGGAAACUGGGGCUAAUACCGGAUAGGAGCUCCUGCUGCAUGGUGGGGGUUGGAAAGUUUCGGCGGUUGGGGAUGGACUCGCGGCUUAUCAGCUUGUUGGUGGGGUAGUGGCUUACCAAGGCUUUGACGGGUAGCCGGCCUGAGAGGGUGACCGGCGACAUUGGGACUAAGAGACGGCGCAGACUCCUACGGGAGGCAGCGGUGGGGAAUAUUGCGCAGUGGGCGGACGCCUGAUGCAGCAACGCCGCGUGCGGGAUGACGGCCUUCUGGUUGUAAACCGCUUUCGCCUGUGACGAAGCGUGAGUGACGGUAAUGGGUCAAGAAGCACCGGCUAACUACGUG